ACCUUUACCUUUAAUAACCCUAACGGCGCUAGAUUCCACCUGAUCUUGGAAGCUCAGAAAGGUCAUCCCUGGUUCGUACUUGGAUGGGAGACUGUCAAUGACUACUAGGUACUGUAGGUG
rnacentral:rRNA from 11 species